AUAUUAAAGUUGUUGUGGUUAAAAAGCUCGUAGUUGGAUCUCAGCUCAUGCCAAGCGGACCACUUCGGUGGUUACUGCUUGGCUGAGUUACCUAUGGAUUAGUCUUUUGAUACUCUUAACCGAGUGUCUUAAGCGAUCCAUCUAUUUACUUUGAACAAAUUAGAGUGCUUCAAGCAGGCAUUCGCCCGGAUAAUCAUGCAUGGAAUAAUAGAAUAGGACUUCGGUUCUAUUCUGUUGGUCUUUGGAUCCGAAGUAAUGAUUAAUAGGGACAGACGGGGGCAUUAGUAUUACGGCGCUAGAGGUGAAAUUCUUGGACCGUCGUAAGACUAACAACAGCGAAAGCAUUUGCCAAGAAUGUUUUCAUUAAUCAAGAACGAAAGUUAGAGGUUCGAAGGCGAUCAGAUACCGCCCUAGUUCUAACCAUAAACGAUGCUAACCAGCGAUCAGUCUGAGUACUAUCAAGGACUCGACUGGAAGCUUCCUCGGGAAACCAAAGUUUUUGGGUUCCAGGGGAAGUAUGGUUGCAAAACUGAAACUUAAAGGAAUUGACGGAAGGGCACCACCAGGAGUGGAGCCUGC
rnacentral:rRNA from 1 species